GGGGAGUUUCUUGCCUUUUGGGAAGUCUGAGGUCUUCUGCCAGCAUUCGGUACACAGUAAGUCUCCGCCUUCACAGAGCACCAUGGCGCGAAGGAGCAGGCAGUUCCAGACUUUUUCCCGGACUCCCUCCCGGCUAGCUGUGGCGCUCUAGCCCCCUUCAGGCUGUGUUCACGCAGCCAACCCCAGUCCUCUCCCUGGGA